rnacentral:rRNA from 1 species
AUGUCACGGGGAUCAGCUUGGGCUGCCCGCCGUGAUGGAGCGUUCACGUCGGUGGAGGACCCGCAGCAGCAACGCCUCGCUGAGUGGAUGGACCAGGACAAGCGGGCACGGCGUCGCGCCGAGUUGGGCGGCCGUAUUGCAGCCAUCGCGGCGCGGGUGGCUUCAGAGCUGUCGGCGGCGGUAGCAUCGGAGGUGUCGGCUGCUGUUGCCGCGGCGCUACAGGCUGCGCGGGCGGGGCACCACGAGCACCUCGACCUUGAGUCGACGACCACAUCAAUCCCAACUGCUUCGGUGGCGGACGACCUCGCCUCUUCCGCCGCAGCAUCAAAAUUGUCUGAGGUCGUCGUCGGUGUCGUCACCGAGUGUGGCUGCAUCGACCUCAAGCCCGCGGCCGCGACCUCGACUCUGACCUCCGCACUGGACAUCUCGGGCGCAUGUUCAGCGAUGAACCCACUCAUCCCCCCUGCAACCAGUGGCUGCUCCGCUGGGGUGCACACCACGUGUUCGACGCGAUGCCCAAGCCACACAGUCGCCAUGUCGGUGUCAAUGACAACUCCUGCCGCAACAUCAGCUUCGUCCCAGGUCACCGUCGAUGUCGUUCCCGAACUCUGCUGCCUUGACCUCGAGCCAUCGGAUGUCGUCGAGCUUGUCACAAUGCCGGCCAAGUGUUCGACAGAAGGUCUGAAUGACGACCUAUUGGUCAUGCCUGAGCAGCAGGACCACUAUAAGGAAUAUGCAAAUUCAGUACAAGAUGCCAGCAUUCCCUGUGUGCUUCCUGUCAUUGUUGUUUGUGAGUUUCCUGCAUAUUCCAACCUCCAGCUCCUUCAUUGUGAUUUGCCUGAACUGGUUACUACACUAGUUUGCUUGCCAAUAUCGCCUUGGGAUGGAAACUGUAUGCGGCUGCCACCUGAUCAAUUAUAUGGGCAGAAGAGUAACAUCCUACUACUGGAAUACGAUAUGCAUGGGGAGAUUCUGACUGCUUGUGGAAGUACUGUAUUUCAAUGCAAUGUACAUCUGCGAACAAUCCAUGGCAGUUUUGUGAUUGACAAGUUGCAGAGAGGCAUGAAAAUCAAAGCUUGCUGCCCCCAAUUAAAACCUGAACCAUAUGAAGUUACUUGUUGUUCUGCUAUCAGUCUUGCCUUGCAUGCAACAAGCUACUCUUCUGAAAUUUGUGUGCAAGUUCUUGCUGAGAAGAGGAAAUUGUCUUGUGAGCUCUUUCGACCUAGAAUGUUUUGGCCAUACAAACAGAUAAUUGGUACCCUUGGAAUGCUCUUAUCUGACGAGGACUUUGAGGUCGGAACUUAUUUUGCAUUCGAGAUGCAUAAUUGUCUACCCAGCUACCAAGGCACCUGGUUCAGUUUUAUGACAGUAUUGUUUGCCAUUCCUCAAUUUGGUGUUGGAGACUGGGAUUAUUUCAAAAAUUCUAGUUUGAAGCUCAAGGAAUUAUUGCUUCCUUACAUGGGUAAAGAGAUCCUUCAAGCCAGCUCUAUUGUCAUCUGUUAUUAUGUUGUUGGUGUUGCUGCAUGCUGCAAAUUUGGUACAAAAUUCAGAAGUGCAGAUGCAUCUUUAUCUGAGCUCCACAACCUAAAGUUCAUAGAUGCAUGCUUUUCUUCUGAUGUUGCUAUAUCAGUUUUGCUGUUUGAGCGAAUAAACUGGGAAGAGCUGCAGCCACCAACAGAUACAACUGAGAAGGGGCUUUCAAGGGCAUUUCCUUUGCCUGUGCAGACAUAUGGGUUUGGCAUGAGCUCGGCUCAAGCACGAGCCAAAAUUCACUGUGAGAGGAUUGUUAGUGGCCAAGUUCACUAUUCCUAUGAGCUCUCUAUUCCUGACAAUUUAUAUCAGAAAUUUUUGGUGGACUGCCGUACCUUGGAGCUAGUGAGCUGUAAACUCCCACAGGAAUUGCAUCUGAUUUGGGAUCUAGUGAGCUCUGAAGGUGUGACAAGUAUGGUACCAUUUCAGUUCCUUGUUUGUGUUGCCAUAUGGAGCUUCUGCCGUCUGGAGUAUUGUCAAGGAAAAUUGUCAUGGGACCCAGGCAUAUGGGCGCUUCUCUGUUUAUUCGGAUUGUUCACACAAGAUGAAGCAGAAGGGAGGAGAAAUGUUGCCACUCCAGCCGGCUACCGCGUCCACUACUUCGACCAGACUUACCACUUCAACAAAGUCCCUACUGGUCCGGACUUCCACCUUGAUGCCUACCUCGGCCAAGACCUCGUGGGCUACGACUACUACAUCAGCCUCAUUCAAGUCCAUUUUGUCGACAACUAUGUCAUCAGCCAGGGCUACCACCAUGAUCCCACUUCAAUCAAGGACAAUCAUGUGCCAUGGGAUCCAGGUGGUUUAACAUGGCAUCGGCUUGAGGUCAAGCCGAAUUUUAAGGAAAGGGGAAUGUUAGCGACCAACCUACUCUUGCUUGGGCUGGGCCAUGGGCUGCGGGUUUUGGGCUGCAGUGAGGCCUCGAGGAAACUACUACAACCCUUUAAGCACAAACCUUUCGACGCAAGGACUGUCAUGGGAUUUGGAGUGCUCAAUGGCAUCUUAAUUGGACUUCUCAACCAGAGUCUAGGUUUCAACUCUGUUGGUUUCUAUCAGAGCAAGUCGAGCGCAUUAGUUGGAUCCAGCUUCUUGAUAUUGCAGAGGACUCGUCAAAAGGUGGAUUACUACUUCCUUGGAUAUUUUCAGGUUAUUAUUUCCUUGCUCCCCUUUGCCGGCAAGCAUUCUCAUCUUCUGGUCACUUGCGUAGGCGCCAUGGACGCCGCUCUUGUGCUCAUCAAGGUCUGCUGCUCCUUGUUCCAGUCCCAUGACAAGCAGCAGCAGUAG